AUUGAACGCUGGCGGCAGGCCUAACACAUGCAAGUCGAGCGGAUGAAGGGAGCUUGCUCCUGGAUUCAGCGGCGGACGGGUGAGUAAUGCCUAGGAAUCUGCCUGGUAGUGGGGGAUAACGUCCGGAAACGGGCGCUAAUACCGCAUACGUCCUGAGGGAGAAAGUGGGGGAUCUUCGGACCUCACGCUAUCAGAUGAGCCUAGGUCGGAUUAGCUAGUUGGUGGGGUAAAGGCCUACCAAGGCGACGAUCCGUAACUGGUCUGAGAGGAUGAUCAGUCACACUGGAACUGAGAGACGGUCCAGACUCCGACUGGAGGCAGCAGUGGGGAAGAUUGGACAAGGGGAGAAAGUCUGAUCCAGCCAUGCCGCGUGUGUGAAGAAGGUCUUCGGAUUGUAAAGCACUUUAAGUUGGGAGGAAGGGCAGGAAGUUAAUAACUUGCUGUUUUGACGUUACCAACAGAAUAAGCACCGGCUAACUUCGUG
rnacentral:rRNA from 1 species